CGGACGGGUGAGUAACGCGUGGGUAACCUGCCUUGUACCGGGGGACAACAGUUAGAAAUGACUGCUAAUACCGCAUAAGCGCACAGUAUCGCAUGAUACAGUGUGAAAAACUCCGGUGGUACAAGAUGGACCCGCGUCUGAUUAGCUAGUUGGUAAGGUAACGGCUUACCAAGGCGACGAUCAGUAGCCGACCUGAGAGGGUGACCGGCCACAUUGGGACUGAGACACGGCCCAA
rnacentral:rRNA from 1 species